GCCUCCUCUUGGUCUUUUGGAGUAGGAUAUCUUUUUGAAAGUUUCCAGUCCAUUUGGUUGAAGGUUGUUCAGCUUUUCAUUGUAAUUUUGUUGUUUUUAUGAGAGAAGGUGAGCUCCAGUCCUUCUAUUCCACCAUCUUAGUCUUCUCCCCUGGGGCUUCAUUUUAAAUAUAUAUCUCUAAACAAGGAAUAUUUGUAUGUACAAAUAUCUUUAUGUAGCCCCCUCCGCUUAUUUUUUUCCCCUAUAUUCUGAUUGUUAAUCUUGUUCUUCACAAAAUUUCCCUUGCAAACAAUUUUUUUUUUCUUUUUAGGGCCGUACCAGAGGCAUAUGGAAAUUCCUGGGCUAGGGGUCAAAUUGGAGUUGCAACUGCUGGCCUGUACCACAGCCACAGCAAAGUGGGAUCUGAGCAGCAUCUGUGACCUGCGCUGUAGCUUGCAGCAAUGUCGGAUCCUUAACCCACUGAGUGAGGCCAGGGAUCAAACCCACAUCCUCAGGGACACUCUGUCCAGUUUUAACCUGCUGAGCCACAACAGGAAUUCAAGCAAACAAUUCUUUAAAAAUGGCACCUAUGUUCAUACCAGUGUGCAGAGUAAAACUAACAAAUGUAAUAAAUUUGAGAUUAUAAACUGGUGUGUUUAAAACCACUUCAUCAGUCUAAUUAGAUUCCCUUUAUAUGUUGCUCUCAAAGAUAAAUCUUCUGAAAAUACGACUUGCUCAAGUCAAUAUCUCAAAACUCUUCGCUAAUUCUAUACCAUGUAGAGGACGAAGUACUAAUGCUGUACCAGGGCACCGCAGACCCUUUAAGCCAUCUUGCCAACUCUGUCUCCAGCUAUUUCCUCAUCAAAAACUUCAGCGAAAUUCAUCUGCCCACUGUACUCUGAUAGGCAGUGUAUUUAGAGAGGCCAGGCUGUCUGUGUUUAAAUCCUGCUCUGCUACCUCCUCACUGUAUAGCUUGGGUAAGUUAAGUAAGCUCUUAGUGCCCCUGUGUGUAAAAAAGGACUAAUAAUAGUAUCUACUUCUUAGGAUUAUUAUGAGGAGUAAAAGUUUUUACAUGUAAAAAUCACAGAAAAUCAUACAUGACACAUGGAAAGAAUGAUAUAUGUUAGCAAAAAUGGCAGAUAGGCCUCGUUGAGUUUAUUUUCACAUAACAUGUCUUUUUCCUAUAACAUCGUUCCUUUUUUUAUUUAUUUAAGCCCUCCCUUCCUUCAGACACACUUCAGAUCUGAUCUCUGUCCUUCAGUGACGUCUCCCCUCCUGAAGUUGUGUGUUUCUUUUCUUUGUCAUUGAUGUCGUGCUUAAUUAGGGCAACCACAACGGGGAGGGGGAGGUAGCAGGAUGGAUUGGGAACUUGGGGUUAAUAGAUGCAUACUAUUGCCUUUGGAAUGGAUAAGCAAUGAGACCCUACUGUGUAGCACUGGGAACUGUAUCUAGUCACUUAUGAUGGAACAUGAUAAUGUGAGAAAAAAAGAAUCUAUACAUGUAACUGUAACUGGGUUACCAUGCUAUACAGUAGAAAAUUGACAGAACACUGUAAAGCAGCUAUAAUGAAAAAAAAAUAAAAUUCAUUAUAUAAAAAAAAAUUAGGGCAACCACAUUAUUUGUUAUUCAGGCUGGGACUCUUUUGAUAGUGAAAAUAUUUCAUUGAUAAUUACCCUGGGACAGCUGGCAUAAAUUGGGACUGACCUGGGCAAAGAGACAGAUGGUUAUCCUAUAAAUAGUGGAGCCUUAAGUUAUCAAAUCUGCUAUUAUCUAAUCAAAGCCAACUUUAUAUGUAAAUUGUUAUGGCAAAUCUCCCAUCAGUUUAUACAUUCGGGAAAUAAGGUUCAUUAAAAUGGACCUCGGUGAUUUCUGGCCAUUCCCAGAGUACUUCUCCUCAUCUAUUCAGUCUCAAAGCCACCAGUUUCUUCUACUCAACCUUCUUCAUUUGAUCCUUGUUUCUUCUGCCUUCCUGACCACUGAUCCUGACGAGGUGGCUGUUCCACCUGGUGCUCCUACAUUGCCCAACUUCAUUGGCUCCUUCCAUUGCCCCUCCCUACCCUCAUAUUCAUGUCCUUCCCCAGGCUCUGCAGAGAAGGAACUGUUCUCACUUGGACCAUUCCUUCUCACCAUGCAUGCACCAGGCCUUUCUUAAUGACCCACAACACAACUGAGAUCAGGAUGAUUCUUGCCCAGGAUUUACUGACACAUCAUGGAUAAAAGAAAGGAGUAGAGAAGUUUAAGUUAGAGAGACCCAAACAACUCCUGUAUCAACCUAUGCUCACAUCUGUGGUCACAUAUAGGCUCAUUCUUUUCCUUAUUUUAAGCCUGUCUCCUCUAACCAAGGAUAGCUCAAGCCUCGCCAUUAGAAUCACUCCAAAAUUCUCAGUCAUCCUCAUGUAUCAAAUGCCCCUGCCCAGAAAGAGAUGUUUCGUUUACACCCAAGUUCCCCACCACCCAUCCUUUCCAUCUCAGCUCUCUGGUUUGACCUCUUUUUGGAUGAUUGACAGUUGGAAAAAUCCUCCUAGAGGGGAACUACCUCAGUCCUCAAGGAUGUGUCCUAUUCUCUUUCUAAGACAAUUCUAAUAGCCUUACAGUGGUAUUAUUUCCCUUAAGCUGAAAUAUUUAGGUUUAUUCAUUAUCACCUGUUAUUUGUCUUUUUUCAGUAUGUUCUGUAUCCUCAACUUGGUUGUGUGUUCCUUGGAAGCAGGUAUUUCCUAUGCCUAGUAAAGUUCCUGAUACAGAGGUGGUAUUCAUUGAAGUGUGUGGUUGAUGAGAGUGUGUGAUAUGAUAACAUAGAGCACUCCUAACUUAUGAAAUACCCAUUCUUUUCUCAAAUAUUGUUUCCUCCUUUUUUUUUCAGAAGUAGUUCAUGUGUAGAACAACUUUCCAUGAAUCUCUCGGUUCUGUUGGCAGAACCAUGUUUCCUCCUGCUCUUCUUCUGGUCUAUGCUGCUUACAUUGUGAUGUAACUUCCCUUCUGGGACAAGUUAGUUUUACGUUCUUGGUAUCAAGCACAGACCAGCUCCAACCUUGGUGAAAGAAGAAUUUGUUUCGAAAGUGAAAUCCAUAUAGAUAUGUGAUACAAAAUCACCAGUAUUAGCAAAUUUCUCCAACAGCAUUAUCUUUUUUGCUGAACAGAUCUCUCAAUAGAACUUCAGUGGCCUCCUCCGGCAACUCUUCAGUUGUUAAACACAGAAAUACCCCCCUCAAGUAUAAAUUUUCCUCUUUUCAACUCUAAUAGUUUUCACAUAAUAAUAUAUCUUUGUCAACCAACACUUUCUGUGUGUGCUCCAUUGGAUAUCAAACAUGACACAAAACAAGGAAGGUCGUACUCUUUUAUCAGUGCAAUGUUUUUUCUAUCAUUUGAGCUGACCUGGUGUCAGCAGCUAUUUCACCAGACACCAUCAUCUGUACUUACAGUUAACUGCAGAGAUGUAUACUCAGAUUUUGACCCUUGUUCUACACACUGAGGACAAAGUAAAAGAAAACAAAACUGAUAGUUUUUCUGAAUAGAAAAUGAUGGAAGAGUCAAGAAAGGUAACACUACAUGAAAAAUCAUACCAUUUAUAAUUUAGUUUUAAGAUGGUUUUAAAGAAUUACAUACUCAUUUUCAUUAAAUAUAUUGAAAUCUUCCAAACAGUGGCAAGUACGUUAUUUUUAUUUCUUCAUUUACUGCUAUAUAAUUUAAUGCUUUGCAUUUUUGCUGGGAACUAUAGUGUCUUGGCUUGUGAAACAAAUAAUGAAAUCACAACUUACACUUUGGUAUAGGCUAAUGGUAUUUAUUGUCCUAUAUUUUAUGCAGGAAGCAAUAAACUCAAGACACUUAUAUUGGCAGAAUAUAGAGUUUGGUCUGAGAAACUCCGAACUCAAUAUUUGUGGGGGAUUACAGAGGGGAGACAAAGAAGUACUGUCUCUUCCCCAAGGAGCAAGGCAGAUGAAAGUCCAAAUAUUAUGUCUAUUCUACAUAAAGCUAAUAUUUCAGAAUGUGGCCUAUGUUUUAAUACAAAUGUGUUUCUUAAUACUGAAUUCUGGAAUUAGACCAACUUCCUCACCAAGCCGUAACUGUCUGGAUUAAGGCAGCCCUCUAGACACAUACCACAAACUAAAGAGCCAGCAUCUGUGGCUGGAGCUGAAGAGAUGACCUGCCCACUGCAGGGAAUGUCUUCCUAUGAAAGUAGACAGCCUAGAAGAAAGGGUUUUCCUACCCACUUUCUUCUUCUGGACUCACCAGGCAUGUCAGGUCAUUUAGGGGAUGGUGAAUGAGAGAUUGGAGAGAGGCCAGGAGUAUUUUACCAAUGAGAUUCCCUCUGCUUCAAAGGAAACAUCAGGAGUGGGCAGUAAGCAUCUGUCAGCAUUAAUAUUCCCUAGGUUUUUGCACUUUAAUCUGUUGGGCUUAACUGAUAAAAUUUUGGUCAGCCAAAGUUGUAGCCGUACUGCCAGGAAAAGGGGAGCAGAGAUCUCUCUCAGGUGACCCUUCCUCUGAGGCUGCUCUGCGAAUACUAGUCACUGCUCCAUUGGGUACCUCCUGAGGCCACUAGUAGGCAGUAUAGAUAUUACACCCAGGAGGCUCUAAAAUAGGUCAUAACAAUAUCCAGUUAAAUUACCUCCUCCAAGGCAUCUCUGCAUUCAAGGCUGAAGUUCACUUAUAUGUUUUCAUAUCUCAAAUGUAUCCAACUACAUAUCCAGAAGGGCCUAUUAGAGGUUCUUCAAAGAGAGCAAAUGGCAAGUCAUAGGAACUUCACAGUCCUCUUCUUCUUAUCAAAUUCCUAGGGAAAAAUGAAACUUGUAAACUUAAUUCUCCUUCCAGGCUGUAUCCAGUAAGUUCUAGUAGGAGGCAGAGGCAUGCUCAAACUGGGCAAGUGAGAAGAGUUUAAUAAAAAGACUUCAUACAUCAUUGGAAACAGGGUUUAGGGAAAUCAAGAAGGAUGGACAAUAUUUUGGGGUUGCCAAGAGGGAGUAGUUGGCAUCACCCUAGCCUGCGGGGCGCAGGGAUGGAAAGAUUCUUAGAUUCUGGAGAAAGUGAUUGUAGGAGAGGGCUACCUUAAUAGAGGGAUGGGAGUUCUCACUGUGGCUUAGUGGGUUAAGAACCUGACUAGUAUCCAUGAGGAUGCGCGUUCAAUCCCUUGCCCCCUCCUCAGUGGGUUAAGCAUCUGGUGUUGCUGCAAGCUGCAGCAUAGGUCACAGAUGUGGCCUGGAUCUGGCAUUGCUGUGGCUGUGGCACAGGAGAGCCGCUGAAGCUCUGAUUCAGGCCCUAGCCUGGGAACUUCCAUAUGUCAUGGGUGCA
rnacentral:lncRNA from 1 species